rnacentral:snRNA from 1 species
GGGUGUGGGAGCACUCUGGCUGCAACCUCUGUCACCCCACUGAUCGCCAGGGUUGAUUUGGCUGAUCUGGCUGGCUAGACGGGUGUCCCUGCCCUCACUGCUCCGUGUGCAUCCCUCCCCAAGCCGUGCACUCCGGGGAAGGCAGCGAGCAUCCCCUAUCCGGGACGACCGUUCUUCCCUCAAGGGUACAGGAGUAGCUGCACCCCUGCGAGAACCUCCAAACAAGCUCUCAGAAAAGGACUUGAGGUCAGCUUGUGGCCUGGUGGCUAAGGGAGCUGUAUACCACAUGGCUGACCU